rnacentral:lncRNA from 1 species
UGCAGAGCAUAGAAAUGAGUCUAUCAGUACGCUAGAGAUAGAUCAGACACAAGAUGAAGAUAAAUACCAGUCCGUAGUAAGAAACGCAAUGGUAAUAGUUCUGUAACAAAGAGGUUGGUGGUCACAAGGCUGAUGCCGGUUGAACACAUGUCGUGUAGCGGUUGUGGCCUCAAUGCUGUGCCUUGUUACGUGAAGAAAACCUGGGCGAUGUUGCUGCGUACGUAUUGAUGUUGACGGUGGACAAAGGUCCUGAAAUGCUGGUGGUGGUUUUGGUAUCGUGGUCGUUCUGAACCCGAAACCAUGUGGUUGGUAAGCAAGCUACUUACCACACACAAUACAUACAUAUAUAUAUAUAUAUAAUGUUCCGCUAUCUAAACUUAUAAAAAUGGUUAAAAUAAAAGAAUUGUCAAAUGAUAUGCGACAGAAGAUCAUAAAGAUGGUAAGCGGUAUCGAAAAAUUGCUCAAGAUUUUAAUUUGCUUGUGUGUACAGUUGGUGUUGUUCGAAAGUCGAAAAAAUAUGAUAUUACUGAAGAUAUUCAAAGGUGUGGUCCUCUGCGUAAAUUAAACGAGGCUACUGAAUGAUAAUAUGGCCCGGAAUGUGAAGGAACAACCAUUUUUGACUCGAAGAGAAAUUCAGAACGAUCUGAAAAAUGCCGGAAUUGAAGUAAGUAAAGAUACAAUUAAGAAAUUACUGGGGAAGACUUCCUCCCUCCAUUUUCUCCCAAAUUUGUUUAUUUUUAAAAUUUUCUUUUGCCAAAUAUCCCCGUUUUCGGAUACAGAGGUUCCGGGAAAUUGCCAAAAAUCAGCAUUGUGAAAUCCCCCAACCAACUUCUUCAAUUUUUACUUUUUUCCCCAACAUUAACCCUAAAACCCUAAUUUUAACCCUUAAACCGUAACCGUAAGUACAGAAAUGCUUUGAAAUUUUUGUCCGAAUCAUAAUGUCCGUAUUUUUCCGCGUGGUUAGGAAAAAAAGAAUUCUUAAAAAAAAAAAUUUUACAAAAUUUUUGUAAAUUUUUUUCAGAAUCAUAAUCUCCGCAUUUUCCUGCCUAUUUUGAAAAAAAAAAAAAAAAGAUUCUGAAAAAAGUUUAAAAUUAAGGAAAUGGGGGCAGGAGUGAUAAUUUAGAAAUGUCGAUUUUUGCCAAUUUUUUUGCAGAUUCGUAUUCCCCGUAGUCGAAAAGGUGGGAGGGGUCGAAAAAAUGUUUUUAAGGGUGGUUUUGGGGGUGGGGACGGGCGGAAGUCUUGCCAAUCACAGAAUCAUACAGGCCUGUAUUCUGGAUCACCAAGAAAGACUCCACUAUUAAAACGUAAACUUGUGCAAAGACCUUUUGAAAUUUGUUAAAAAGUAUGAACAUGAAUCAGAUGAAUUCUGGAAGAAAGUUAUUUGGUCAGAUGAAACGAAAAUUGAGCUUUUCGGGAGAAACGGGUGCAUCCAAGUAUGAAGAAGAAAAGGAACUGAAUACAAACCCAGUAAACACUAUUCCAACAGUCAAAUAUGAGGGUGGAUGGAAGUGUAAUGAUUUGGAGUUGCUUGUCUUAUAAUGGAGUUGGAGAAAUGGAAGUCAUCGAAGGAAGAAUGAAUGCAGCAAAAUACAUGCAAAUCUUAUCAACCCAUCUAUUAAAAAGUGCAACAGCUUUGGGGCUUGACCGAGAUUUUGUAUUCCAGCGGGUCAACGAUCCAAAGCACAGGGCUAAAACAACAUUGGCGCAAUGAAAAUGGAAUUGAUGUUCUGGAAUGGCCUAGCCAGAUCUCAAUCCAAUAGAAAAUUUAUGGAAAAAGUUGAAAUUGAGAGUACACGCAAGAGAUCCCAAAAAUAUCAAGGAACUGAAGAAAAUCUGUGAAAAAGAAUGGGUGAAAUUGUCAAAAUCUUCAUGCAAGAAGCUCAUUGAAAACUACAAAAAACAACUAGAGGCUGUAAGGCAGAACAGAGGAUAUGCUACAAAAUAUUAACAAUCUCGUUAAAUACUUUUGCACGCAGUCAAAUUCGAAAAAUGGCAAUAAAAGUACUUAAAAGCAAUGUUUCUCAAUUUUCCUCUGUUUUGUUAGACAAUGUUCAUUAAAAUAUUUGAAAAAUCAUUCAAAUUGAACGAUAUUUUUAUUGUGAAAUUUAUGAAAAAAAAAACGAUGUGUUAAAUACUUUUGCUACACACGGUAUAUAUAUCAUAUAUGUAUAUAAUGUAUAUAUUAUGUGUAUAUAAUAUAUCUAUCUAUAUAUAUAUAUAUAUAAUUUAAUAUAAAAUCCGUUCUGUCUGUCUGUGUGUACCUUCUAGGAUCUCGGGCGUCCUCCAUCUGAUUGCGCUCAAAUUUGAUAUGUAGAUACCGACGGUAUCAGGGCGUGUAUACGUCUUGAAAAAAUUACAAACAUCGAUUCCAGGUGAGAAUGCGAUCGAUAAAGCCGGGGGAACGUGCAUUUGUACGAGCAAAUACAUCAGCUGUUGCGAUCGAUACUACGCGUACGCGAGAAAAAUGCACGUGCAGAUGACGCAGAAAAAGCCUGCCGACUUGAAAUAAUGUCACAAAAUGCAUUAUUAUUGUGGGCAAUAAAGAAAUAACGCAAUGCAGUAUAUUUAAGAGACCAAGAGAGUAAGAUGCAAAAGAGAUAUUUUGUUCAAACUUGGCAUGAAGGAAGGAAAGACUAUUUGGUUUCCCAAGAAGUUGUUUUUUUUUGCCUUAAGUUUGUUUAACAAAACCCAAAAUUUUAUUGAAAUAAAGGCAUGCUUAAUUAUUUUUAAUGAAAAGAAAAUACUGAUUGCUUUUUAUUCAGCAGAUGUGAUUCAGCACCGUCCAUUGAACGGGGGGCGUUUUGCUCGUAGAUAUAAUAUAUACAUAUAUAUAUAUAUAUAUAUAUAUAUAUAUACACACACACACAUAUAUAUAUAUAUACACACACACACACAUAUAUAUAUACACACACACACACACACAUAUAUAUAUAUAUAUAUAUAUAUAUAUGUAUAUAUAUAUAUAUAAAUAUAAGGCGGAGGUAAAGUACAUGCACGCCACCACUUUUCGGCGUAACAAAAACCCUAAUCUUAACCCUAAAUCCUACCCCCAUCCCUAAACACUGAGUGUGCGUAUUCUUUACCUUCGCUCUAAUCUCCACCUUAGAGUGACAACGCUCUGCCAGAAUUUAAAAUCAGUCCACAGAGUCAGAGAGAGACAGACAAAAUGAUAAGCGAGUGAAACAUGGGAAAUGAAAGAAAGAGACAGAGUGCAGAAAAGAGAAAUAAGAAUAAGACAGAAACAGGAGAGAAGGACAUACAAAGAGGGAAUGAGAGAGAGAGAGAGUUACUUCUCUCUCUCUCUCUCGCCUGUGUCUGUGUUUCUCCUCUUUAUCUAAAGCAGGGCAAAGCACAAGUGUCCGUCUAUCUAAUUCCGCACCGUUUAUAUAUUUGUUUCUUUCUGUAGGAAAGUCAUGUUUAAAUACUUCAAAAUGUAUUGCUGUCGUAUUGUUAUUACUGGAUACAAAUUUUGUUUAACUUCGCUUUACACAAAAUGUAACAAAAACGCUAUUAAGAUUGUAGAGCAAACCGAAGCUGAGAAAUCAUAAAGUAUCUCCACGUUUUCGGUACAAUAAAGUUGCUUUGGAGGAAAUAUGAGAUGUAAACCAGUAUAAAAUACAUGGGCAAUGUGGGUUUGAUUCCUGAUCAUGGCGGACCAGGUUCUUCUUAAAUCCAGGCAUAAAAACAAACGGUCCAAGAAUUAGUUUGUGUGCGUGCGUAUAUGUACGUUUGUGUAAAUAUGCAUAGGUAUAUAUAUAUAUAUGUGUGUGUGUGUUUAUAUAAUAUAUACAUAAUACAUAUGUAUUAUGUAGUUGAAAAUCAAAAGAAGACAGGUGUAUGCACAAUAGGCAGGUGUAUUAGUUUGACGCUCAGGAAAGUGAAAAAGUCUUUCGUGUUUCGAGCCCACGCUCUUCAUCAGAAAAGAACAGGAGAAAAUAAACAGAGAGGGAAUAAAAUGAUGAAGAGAGAGGUGGGUAGGAGUGAAGAGAGGAAGUAGGUGUGAGUUGAGAGGAGGGGAGUCAGAUGAAGAGGGGAGUUGAGCCCAUAUGGUACAAAGGAGUGAAGAGAGAAGAUUAAUUCUUGUUCACGGCGAAGGCGCGAGUCCGGAUGGCCCCUGUGCAAAGACAAUCCGAACUCAGACGGGUGUUGUAAUGAAUGACUGGUAGAGCGGGACUGGGGUGUUGUUGUCGAGUCUAAUGUCUCGGAGGUGCUCUGCAAACCGGUCAGCGAAGUAGCGUCUCGUUUGACUGAUGUACAGAGAAGGACAGAAAGAGCAGGAGAUACAGUAAGAGACGUUUCUAGACUUGCAUGUAAAGAAGUUAGUAAUAUGAUAGGCACGAUGAUGGGUGCCUGUGAGGAUGGUGAUGUUGGAGAGGUAGGGGCAAGUGCGACAGCGUACGUGGAAGCAGGGGAACGGGCCAGAUUGGGAGAUGGGGUUAGGGAAGAAACUGUGGACCAGAAGGUCACGUAGGUUGUUGGCUCGUUUGUAGGAGUGGAGGGGUGAAAUGGGUAACGGCAGGGCAAGUGUGGGGAGAGAGAGCAGAGGCACGGUCCACGGAAGUGCUCUGGCAAGGACGGUGUGGAUGUUGAUGAGGAGAUAUCCACAGAGGAUGAAGUGGCAAACCAUGAGUUGAGACUGAGUCUCAGAGUCAUGAAUGUCACUGCAGAGCCUGCGCAGACCGAGGAAUUGGGAGUAUAUAUAUAUAUAUAUAUAUAUUAUAUAUGAGUGUAUUUUCCCUCGUUAACAAUUAACAGGGGAAAAAUAGAUAAAUAGUUUCCAGGGUAGCAUAAAUCACACUUGUUUUUAAAGGUAGAAACUUCGGGUAUACGUGAAUUUUUUUGUAUAAUAUACAAAUAAAUAAAUGGAGUUUAACGCAGGUAUAAUUGAAAUACUUUUACUUCCGACACAUGUUUAAAUUUUUCCGUAGAAUGGGCUUAGGCAUCGUUUUUGAUAAUGAUAUGACGAAGGCUAACUUUUUAGAUAUAACGCUGAAUUUUAUAACUCUACCUUACUUAAAGCAGGUUAUACAGAGAAAAUUUUCUACAUUGAUUCUAUUCAGUCUUAUUCUAACUUCAAUAAUGUAGAUAUGAAAUCUAGUUGUAAAGGAAUUAUCGAUAACAAGCAUAACUUAUGCACCGAUACAAAGCAGAGGAAGGGAGAUAACCCUUAUUUAAUCCCCUAUUAUCAUUCUAAAAGUAAAUGUAAGACUUUCAAAAAUAAUUACACUAAAAAUAAGAUAAAUAGUAGUAAAACUAUUCGGUUCAUUAUUCCAUACGGGAGACAAAUUAAAUCUAAUCUCCCAUUGCAAUUUGUCAACCUAUUGUUAGGAAUUUUCCUAAGAAUUCAAAGUAUUUCUCUAUUGUCAAUUCACAUACGGUUAGGAUUGAUUUUUCCAACACAAAAAUAAUCUCUUACAAAUUAUCUCUUCACUAAUAACAACCUGUUAAAUAUAAAUACAUUUACUAAUACUAACCUUAAUUUAGCUAAUACCAUCCAUCCCUCCAGAAAUGUUAAUAACAAGGUUAUUGUAUCUGAAGUCAAUUCCAACAGAAUUAAAUUUAUGUCAAGUAACUCUAAAAUAAAAAAUUCUAUAUACCAGUGUAUAAUCAGUACUCGUAAUAAAGUACGAUUUUACAUUGGAAGCACAUCAUUAGAGUUAUCUAAAAGAAUUUCUAUCCAUUACUCAACAUUUAAAGAUAGAAAUAAACGUAAUAGUACCGGUCUCAGCAAACUGAUUUGGGAUUUAAAAGACCACAAUGAACAAUUUCAUUUAGAAUGGUUGAUUCUUUCAAUCUCGAUACCUUAUGACAAAGGCAAGGAAUUCUAUCUUCUCUGUAAUUCUGAACUAUUUUUCAUUAUUUUCUCUAAAAAUCCCCUAGUAAACAUGGUUAUAGAGCAUGCAUACCGAUGUAAACAUUGGCAAAAACAUACAUUUAGUUCAUAUAAGUAAUCUCUAUCAUUAUAGACAAUUUAAACAUUUUCUUUUUAUAUUUAACAUUCACUAAAAAAAUAUCCCUCCUCUUUCUAUAGGCUACUUCUGACAUUUUAUCAUAUAACGUUUUUCAAACAAUAUUAAUAGCGUUCAGUUAAUCACUAUACAUAUCCACCAUUUUCUGUUAAAAUGUCUUAUUGACGAGUUUCAUUUCUUCACUUCCCUGAAGAGAAGAUUAUAUUGCUUUACACCUUUUAUUCUUUUGAAUAAUUUCAGUGAUAUCUUCGAAGCAUGUGUCGGAAGUAAAAGUAUUUGAAUUAUACCUGCGUUAAACUCCAUUUAUUUAUUUGUGUGUAUAUAUAUAUAUAUAUAUAUAUAUAUAUAUAUAUAUAUAUAUAUACACACACACACAGCGGCAGCUUUAGUCUUAUAUUUAUAGACUGCCAUAUUAGUAUGUCGAUAACUAUUAAUAUCCAGUAACGCUGCCGUAAUCUCCUUUAGAGAGACUUAGUAAUUUCAAUAUUUCUAUUAUUGAAAACAAGUGGAUGUAUUCCACUGUAACUAGGUAAAUAAAAUCUUCGAACAGACUGGUUCUGACUACGCUGCAUUGAUAAAGGGCAACAACCCUGAAACAUGUCUGCAGAUGUCUGACUAGCAAGGUGAAGCGGCUGACCUCUCCUGUUCGAAGGUCGUAAUGGACGCAGGUUCGUGUGUCAUAUAGCUAGCUAGAGGCGAUGGCCUCUUGGAGCUAAUCAGCGACAGCUUUAGUCUUAUAUUUAUAGACUGCCAUAUUAGUAUGGCGAUAACUAUUAAUAUCCAGUAACGCUGCCGUAAUCUCCUUUAGAGAGACUUAGUAAUUUUAAUAUAUAUAUAUAUAUAUAUAUAUAUAUAUAUAUAUAUAUAUAUAUAUACACACAUACAUACAUAAAUAUACAUUGUAUGUAUGUAUUCUUUUAUUUGUUUCAGUUAUUUGACUGCGGCCAUGCUGGAGCAUCGCCUUCAGUCGAGCAAAUCAACCACAGGACUUAUUCUUAAUAAGCCUAGAAUUUAUUCUAUCGGUCCGUAUGACAUCACGACAGUAUUCAAGAGUAAUAAAGCACUUCGCAAAUAUCUCCUUCGGGUAAAACCACCAAUAGAAGAGAAUAUAACCAAAGACUGCGUGUACUCCAUCCCAUACAGCUGUGGUAGGUUAUACAAAGGCGAAACAUGCCGCCCCCUCAAAAUAAGGGUAGAGGAACAUCGCAAAGAGGAACAUGAGGAGAUAUUGAUAAAUCGGGUAUAGCUGAUCAUGUAUGCAAAAAUGGAGACCACCUCACCCAGUGGGAUGAAGUUAAAAUAAUCGACAGAGAACAUCACUGGAAAAAGAGGCAGCACAUAUGCUAGGACACAAUAACGUCCUAAGCAGACCGAGUACGGAUAUGAGCAGCAUAUGGGAACCGGUAUUAAGGAAGGAUAGGGAAAUAUUAGAUUUAUAAACCCUAAAAUUCACUCUAUAAAUAUCCACAGGUAUAGUGGUUAAGAGCGCGGGCUACUAACCCCGAGUUCGAUUCCAGGCAGUGACCUGAGCUAUAUAUACAUAUGGAAUUUGCUGUUGGCGGAUUGGGUGUUCCGUCGGAGAACCUCAGAUUUAACGGAUGCAUAAGUCGCGUCCGGACGUGGGUCAAUGGAACGUGCAAGAGGAGCAGGCAUCCCACAGUACAAAAGACUUAGUUGCUGUUGGAGAAUUUUGUUGUUAUUUAGCCUCAAAUCAACCCUGAUACAGCAAAUCUAUGUUGCUAUAAAAAUAUCUCUGGUUAUUGAAGAAGGGUUUUGUUAGGGGAGUGGACCCGGAAGUUGUUCGCAAACAUCAGCAGUAAUUUUCUUCAGUUGAAUACACGUCAUUGAUUGGUUAAAAUUACCCAAAUACGACAAUUUUAACACGAAAUAACUUCUAAAAUAUAAAAUUUUGUCAAAAACGUUAAGAGUAAACCCUGUUCUAUGUGUCACGUUCUGCCAGUAUCCGAAGUUUCAAAGUGUUUAGUUAAAAAAAGAAACAAUUAAAAAUUAAAAAUCUGUCGGUCAGAUUGAAAAGAUCCCAAAUAUCUCCUUAGUAUAUAAUGGUGGCAAGUUUUACAUCACCUGAAAAGUCAUUAGUUGAACUAUCUCUUGACAGACAUUUCAACAGACGCCCAUAAAUUAAAUGCAACGUGGCCUGUCGACCUGUGCCUGAUGGCCACAAUCGUGGUCCGUCUCGUUUUCUGUUAACACCCAGACACCAAAAAGAAAAGAACGAGCGCAAUAGGUGUAAACAAAUGUGUAUUAAACGAAUAUGAAAACAAAAAUUUACGCCAACGAACCGGAGGGGGGGGGGGCAGGAGGGAACUUUCGGAAAAUUCCCAACAUCCGAUUUUUUUCCUCGUAACUUUUAGGAAAAUGGAUAUCUUUUAAUGAAAUUUUAUAUAAAUACCUUUCAAACAGUAUAUAUUAUGAAUUUCUUUCUUUUCCAAAGUCCUCUCCCCACCCCCUCGGAAAAGAAUUUCCCCUCAAAUUACUUUAUAAUCGUAAUCGUUGCCGUUUGAAAGGUAUUUAUAUAAAAUUUCGUUAAAAGAUAUCCAUUUUUCUAAAAGUUAUGAGGGGGAAAAAUCGGAUCGUGUGAAUUUUCCGAAAGUCCACCCCGGUUCGUUGGCGCAAAUUUUUGCUUUCAUAUUAGUUUAAUACCCAUUUUUUAACACCUAUUACUCUUCUUUCUUUCUUUUUUUUUUACUUUGUUUUGGUGGCCGGGUGUUGAAGUAGUAAUUAUCUUUUUUUUUUUUUGGUGGUGGUGGUAGGGAGAUUUCUACUGAGAAGAUCAAAGGACCUGUUAACGUUGUCGCCAUCUUAGAGAGAAGGCAAAGGCUAAAAUGCGGAUCAAGUCAAACGAAUGACGAAAAUUAAGGCAAGUCUUAAUAAAGUUUUGCUUUUCAACAGCAAUAGUAAUAAAAAAUAUUCUACACAUCUGUAGUUACAUCUGUUCAUAAAUAUGGGCACGUAUUUUGCAGACGUCGGAGUCAGUAAGUUUCAAAUUGGAAUAUUUCCGUUCUAUCGGGGAUUUUUCUGAUUUUACUUUUUUUCACGGUGCCCUUGGAAGUGCUGUGGACUAUCUUUUUAGCAAAACAAUUUGCGAAAAUGAUUUUUUAUUUCACCCUACCCGGACUUUUGGAAUUUCUCCGUUUUGACGGGAAUAUUUUCACGCUCCUUCCAUUCCCGGCCGAUUUUGUUAGCACUCGCUCGAUGCUUCCCCCCAUCCCACCUCUGUGGACAGAUUUUGCGGCCACUACUCUUAAAAAUGAUGGGAGAGAAACCUUUUCGUUAAAAACAAUUUUCACUCCUAUCUUUAUCAAUUUCUUAAUGAUACAUAGCAUUUUUUCUUGUUAAACCUUUUUCCAUUACUCAAAUGGGUUUGUGGGGAGAAAGAUAUUCUUUUCGUCGAGUUGUAAACAUUAACCUUCUUUUCUUGCACAAGGCCCGAAAUUUUGGGGGAGAGGGCACCCAGUACGCAACUAGUACUUAAUUUAUUGACCCCGAAAGGAUGAAAGGCAAAGUUUACAUGGCGGAGACGUAAACGGACUCCAAUGAGGGUAACCUGCUUGAAGGCCAAGGCCGUAGAAUCGGGUGGGAUCUUUAUUUAUUUAUUUUUUUGCAAAAUUGAAAUUUUACAAACAGUUUUCUUUUUUCAGAACCCUAAUUAGCCAUGUGCGCCCCUAAAACUAACCCUAACCCUAGGGAGUGUGCAUAGUAAAAAAAUCUGAUUAGAAGCAAUCAAGAAUGUGCAAACGAUAUUGUCGGUCUCCUCGUAUCAUUAUCGGAAAAAGUAAAUUACCGCUCUUCAUAUCGAGUGUCCGUUUUCCGUGUUUUAUUUUUAAGUAUAAAAUAUUUUAAAAUGGAUGAAUCUUUCUAAUUUUUUUGCAUACAUCAUUUAUUUUGUAUAUAUUUUCCAUUUUCACAACUUUUUGUUUUUAAUUGCAUUUCAUUUUAUUGGAGCUCCAAAAACUAACUUGCGAUUUUCUUUCUCUUACUAUUGCCGUUGAAAAGCCAAAAAUUAUUGAAAUUUAACUUUUCCGGCAUUCAAUCGUUUUGAGCACGUGUUGUCAACUGUAAACACAUGAAAUAUUAUCACUAAUAAUGGGGCUUUUUCGACGUCGAUUUCGUUUUCUUCUUAGGAUACACAAAUGAAGCAGGUAAGAACGAAUCCUAGCCGCAUGCACAUACAUGCACAAAAAUGCAUAUAUAACUUGCACUUUAUAAAUAUGCAAGACAUCUCUUAAGUUUAAAAUGCGACCUACAUUCCACAUACAGAAAAGAGAAGUAUGUCACACACGGAAACUAUCGAAAGAAUCUUGACAAGCCUGAAACGCCAAACGAUUGAAUGUCGCGGGGAAAUCUAACUUCCGGUUUCAAUAUUAAAUUCUAAGCGUUUCUGAUUUUUACUCCGAAGUGAAUAGUGUUUCAUUUGCAGGAAACUGAACAUUUUUUAGUGACAUAUCUUUUAAUUCGUACUCCAAAGUGAACUAAAAAAAAACUUGCUGGAAGAUUUUUUUAGUUCAAUAUGGAUAUUCCUAGGCUAUCAGUUACUUCUAGAUUAAGCCCAGAAAACAUCAUAGAUUCGUGAAGUAUAUUUGCCACCUAAAUGUGGCUAACCCUUAUGGGUUGAUGCCACUGUAGCUUGUAGCCCCAAGAAGACAUCUCCUCCAGCUGGCUAUUGACACACUUAUUGUGUCCUAUCAGUAUUUGCAAAGGGAAGUCAUCGUUCCCAUCUCCAGCCUGACAUGAUACACACAGACCCGAGUUUCUGAAUAUUGACCCGUCAUCAGCGUAUGACAACCACUGGUUGGCGAUGUGAAGUGGUUCCCAAUGCAAAUAUAUAUAUAUAUAUAUAUAUUAUAUCCUUUUUCCUGUGACUUUUCGUUACUGAUCUUGAAAAGGUGUAAACAAGCAAUAAUACAUCUCUGAACGAGGUAUAGACAUUAACUGCACGACAACGUAAAGUAUAAUAGCCGUCUCAAUAUGGCUAACCACUAAGGGUGGGUGUUACUGUAGCUUUUAGCCCCAGGAGAACAUCUUCUCCAGCUGGCUUUUGACACGAGAUAUAAACUGUAGCUGCACGACGAGAUUUAUUAUUGCUUGUUUCCACUUUUUCGAGAUCAGUGACUUUUCGUCACUGGAAAAAGUAUAUAUAUAUAUAUAUUUGCAUUGAGAACUACGCUGAUGAUGGGUCAAUAUUCAGAAACUCGGGUCCGUGUGUAUUACGGCAGGGUGGAGAUAGGAAAGACGACUUCCCUUUGCAAAUACUGAUAGGGCACAGUAAGUGUGCCAAUGACCAGCUGGAGGAGAUGUCUUCCUGGGACUACAAGCUCCAGUAGCAUCAACCCUUAGAGGUUAACCACAUUUAAGUGGCAAAUAUACUUCACGAUGUCGUGCAGCUACUGUGUAUACCUCGUUCAGAGAUUUAUUAUUACAUUGUAGAUUAUUUGAAAGAGGAAGGAUUACUUUUUAAACAGAAAAGAUGUACCCGUAAUACAUUUAUGAGUUUCAUAAAAUCACCGAGGAGUAAUGACAGAUAUUCAUGGAAAUGUCCAUCUUGUCGAAAAAAGAAAUCAAUCAGGAGUAACACGUUUAUGGAAAGAUCAAAAUUAUCGCCUAACAAUUAUUUUUCAUAUCGUUUAUCACUUUGCCAGUGGAACCCCAGUCACUGCAUGUAUGAGUCGAGUUGGUGUAUCACGUGUGACAGCUAUUCAAUGGUACGCAUAUUGUAGAGAAAUUUGUAGCAGCAAGUUACUCAAAGACAGAACAAAAUUAGGAGGUGAUGGUCACGCGGUACAGAUUGAGGAAUCACCGAGUUUAAUAGAAAGUUUAAUCUAGGUAAGAUUAAAGAGAAAAUUUGGAUUGUUGGUUUCUUUUGUUUCAGUAUGCACCGGACAAAAGUGCUGAAACCUUAGAAACAAUUAUACAAGAAAAUGUUUUACCUGGCAGUACACUGUAUACUGAUAAAUGGGAUAGCUAUAAGAAUCUUUCAUCUUUAGGUUAUAACAGCCAACCAGAGUCGUGUUAAACAAAAAAUUUAAAACAUUUAUGGUUCAGAAGGAGAACUGAGAUGGGACCACAUAGAUGAAGGCAUUUUCAGGGAAUAUUAUAAGUUCAAUGCAUCAACAUUUAUACAAAACUCCCAAACUUCCCUGAAGCACAUUGCAGGAAUUUAUCUGCAGGUAUGUAAUGUUAUAUACAUUCACAUUAUAUCGUUUCAUACUAUAAUAUGGGCGGAGGUGAAGAUCAUGGACCGUGCCCGCUUUGGGAUUUGUUUUUUACGGGAACACACUAUAUCGGGCGAUCUUUCGUUUUGACUCGGAAAAUGAGUUUCCGUGACCACUUGUCUUGUCAACUGUCAGUUGACAUAUCGAAAUGGGAAGAGAAAGCCAAUGGAUCGUGCGUGUUUGUUCCUCUGUGUGUUAUAUUUACAUUCCACAACCCAUAAAAAUAGAACAAGCACUUACACACACACACACAAACAACAAGCACACACACCCACACAACCCAUUACCUUUCAAUACGUCAACUGACGGUUGGUCACGGAAACUAACGAAUUCAGUGUUUACCUCUUUCGAGUCAAAACGAAAGAAUGUCCUAUGUCGAUGGCGGAGAUUCCGAAUCUACAAAAAAAAAAAAGCAUUUCAAAAUUUUAAUCCCCCACUCCCAUUUCUUAGAUUAAAAAAAAAAUUUCUUUUGGCAAAAAACGUAGAAAAAUACGGAGAUUAUGAUUCUGAAAAAAUAAUUUGUAAAGUUUCAAUUUUUCAAAGACCCCCCCCCCCUUCUUCCUUAUGACAUGAAGUGAAAUUAAAGUAUUUUCUCUAAUGUUUCCUGACGAACAUAACAACCGAACAUGUUGUGGUCAGGGUCUUUUGGAAUUAAAAGAGGUACGAAAAAAUUAAAUUUUUUGCACACACACAACAAAAUGACAUUAAUUUUUUUUUUUUUCCUUUUUUUGGAAAUUCGUAUUUAGAAAUUUGAUACUCGGUUUGGCUGUUGUUUCUAGCUUGUCAGAUUUCCGGUUGGGGCGUACUUAGAAAUCGAAAGUUUUUGAAAUCCCCAAAAUACGUUUUCAUUCUCUGGCAAAGAAAAAAAGGGGUUGGGUGGGUGAAAUUUCACUUUCUGUCAAAGGGUGCAGGGGAGGUACUUCUUUUUCUUUUUUUGAAAAAUUGAUACAUUACCAUUAUGAAGUAAUUUAUGGGAAAGUUUUGGUGGGGGAGAGGACUUUCGGAAAAUUCCCAAGAUCCGAAUUUUUCCUCGUUAUAUUCCGAAAUCACAUCCAACUUUCUACAGAUACCCUAACGUAAUACUUCUACCCUACGUAGUGUUUAUUUCUACCCACUUUCAAUAAUUUUUAAUGUUUUGGCUUCAAUUUUGUUUCAUUUUAUCUUCCAAUUAUUUUUUUACCCUUCUGUCGUUAUUCUCAUUCACUCGUUAUUACUUUCUCUGUAUAUAUAUAUAUAUAUUGUAAAUAUACAUACAUCUAUAUACAGACACGUUAUAUUUUUACAAACGCACUUCACUGAAGUUACAAAAAUUAGUGGAAACGAUAUCUUGACAAAAAACCAUGUUCGUUUUUGUGGGAAAUAAGUCAAAGAGUAUUAAAACAAAAUAUCUUUUGCUAAAAUUACUAUAUAUAUAUAUAGAUCCCAGGAUAUAUAUAAAAUUUCAUUGGAAAAAACACAUUUUCCUAAAAGUUACAAGGGAAAAACUCGGAUCUUAUGAAUUUUCCGAGUUACUCACCCCACCCCCUUGGAAAAGAUUUUACCCACAAAUUUCUUCAUAAUCAUAAUGUAUGCCGUUUGAAAGAUAUUUAUAUAAAAUUCCGUUGAAAAAAACCCUAUUCUCCUAAAAGUUAUGAUGGAAAAACUUGGAUCUUGUGAAUUUUCCGAGGUUCCCUCCUCCACCCUCCUGUUGCUUUGCGCGCAGUUUUUUUUUUCCCUAUAGAUUUUUAACACCCGUUGCACGAUUUUAUUUCUGAUUUUCGUUUCUGGGUCAAGUUGUAAACAUUAACAAAUUUUUUUCUUCAAAAGUGAAAAUUUAAGAAAUUGGGGAGGUGAAUUUAAAUUUUCAAAGGCAGAUUUUUUGCCGAUUCAGAUUCUCCGCCCUCCAUAUAGGACGUUCCUGUCGAAAAAAAAACAACAACAACAAAAAAUAAAACGAAUUGGGGUGCGGUCCUUGAUCUCCGCCGAAUUUAAUGUCUGUGAUUACCAUGAGUUGUCAUUCACGCUGUAAAUUCCUCUAAUACGUAAUCCUGUUUUUCUUCACAAGCUGAUAAUAUUAUCCGGAGUGUAUAUAUUAGCAAUAAUUAUAACAAUAGAGAAUAUGGAAACCGAUACAUCCUCAAUUUAUUUCAUUUUGCUUUACAAUAUCAUCAAAUUUAUUUUAAGGUCACGAUGGCCUAUAUAAAAAUAUACUAGAUGAAUCAUACAGUAUCUUUUUAUAUAGGUCGUCGUGACCUUGAAAAUAAACUGUAAAAGAAAAGGAAAUAAAUUGAGGAUGUACCAGUUUCCAUAUUCUCUCUCAUCGUCAUUUAACGUCCAUGCUGGCAUGAGUUGUACAAUUUGAUCAGGGCUGGCAAGGCUGGAAGUCUGCCCCAAGUUUGAUUUGGCAUGGUUUCUACAGCUGGAUGCCAACCACUCAGAGUGUAAUGGGGUGGUUUUACGUGCCACUGGCACCGGGGCCAUUUUUACGACAUCAGCAUCUUUCAUGAGUGCAGUUUUACUUCUCAAACAUGGUAUGAUGCCAAAUGGACGCAAUCAUUGCUUGUGUGUGUGUGUGUAUAUGUGCAGAAAAACUUGUGUGUGCUUAUAUAAUUGUACACAUAUCUUUAUCAAUUGAAGAAUAUCAUAAAAGAAUACACCAGCAGAUAUACAUUGUCUUAACUUCAUACACAGCAAAAACAUACAAACACACAUGUAGUGGAUCUCUUCAUGGCAUUUCUCCUCACCUGCAAAUGCUUCCAUGUCAAUCAUGCACAUAUAUAAAAUAGAUGUCACUCAUACAACACCUGGCUGCAGCUCUAAAACAUACCAGCCCUGUCUAUGGUAAAUAAUAAAAGGAAUAGUUGAGGAAACAUGUUAGUUGAUUCAUUUUAUACAAAGUUGCAGUUCUUCUGGAAAAUAUUCCUCAAAAACAUAAUGCCAAUAAUUCCUCACUGCUAGUUUGUGUAACUUAUUUUCAAUAUUAAUUGUUCAUUCAUGCUUCUUAUUUUUCUCCUUUUUAUUCUUCAUGCGUAGGGAAAACAGUCGAAGACAGUUGGGAUUAUUCAGUUUAGAAAUAUUUUAUAUCUUAUAAUAGCCUUCUCGUUAUCUUUCUGCUGCUAGUGAAGAAGAUCAAGCAGCAGUAGGACAGACAAGAUGAAGAACCUUGCAAUUUGAAACUCUAUCGAUAUUUUCUGGCUGCCAGUUUCGCUAUUAACUAUUUUGAAUAAACAAAUAAAAUCUGCUUCCUUACU